UACGGAGGGUGCGAGCGUUGUCCGGAAUCACUGGGCGUAAAGGGCGCGUAGGCGGCCUGAUAAGUAGGGGGUGAAAUCCUGCGGCUUAACCGCAGGGCUGCCUUCUAAACUGUCGGGCUCGAGCACAGUAGAGGCAGGUGGAAUUCCCGGUGUAGCGGUGGAAUGCGUAGAGAUCGGGAGGAACACCAAUGGCGAAAGCAGGUACCUGGACUAUUACUGACACUAAGCUGCGAAAGCUAGGGGAGCAAACAGG
rnacentral:rRNA from 1 species